rnacentral:rRNA from 1 species
AACGUAGGAGACAAACGUUAUCCGGAGUUACUGGGCGUAAAGGGCUCGUAGGUGGCCAACUAAGUCAGACGUGAAAUCCCUCGGCUUAACCGGGGAACUGCGUCUGAUACUGGAUGGCUUGAGUUCGGGAGAGGGAUGCGGAAUUCCAGGUGUAGCGGUGAAAUGCGUAGAUAUCUGGAGGAACACCGGUGGCGAAGGCGGCAUCCUGGCCUGUAACUGACGCUGAGGCGCGAAGGCUGGGGUAGCGAACAGG